rnacentral:lncRNA from 1 species
AAAAAACCAUUCUUUCAUUAGUCCCAAACCCACAUAUCCUUCAAAUCAUCAGUUCCAACAUAACCCAAGCAUAACGGCUGACCUUUAGCAGAUACACUCGAGGUGAAUUCGGACAAACAAAUAAAAACAAUAAAGAACGGAUUAAAGGUCAUGCAAGUCUGAUGAACAAAUAUACAAUCUGCUGGGCUUGCUUGAAGAUUGGAGGUCAAAGGGAUUACCUUUAGCACCUUAUGGAGUCGAGUGAACAAAGAAGAAUCGAAGAGAUUGCGUCUGGACACUGACCAAAGAUACAAUUUUUUGGUGAAGAGAUUUCCAGAGCACCGUAUGAAGGCAGAAACAAAAGUUUCUUCUUGUUCAGCCGUCGUCCCUUUUCUUUUCUUCCCCUUGCUGCCUUUCCCAGUUUCCUCUCUCUUUUUACCGUAAGCUUUUCUAUAUCCCUCACUCUUGCUCCUGUUUUUCUAAACCUAGCCGCUCCCCUCUUGCUAGCUCUCCGUUUUUCUUCAGCCGUCCUUACGGUUUCUUCCUCUCCAGCUCUCUCUUUUCUCCCUCUGUCGCGUUUCCCUUCUCUUUCUUUUUCUUUCCCGCAACCCCAGCCGUCCCCUCUCUUCAGCCGUCACCAAGACUCUCUCCCUUUUCCUCUUUCCAAAAACCCAGCUCUCUCGUUUCCUUUUCUUUUCACCCUCAGCCGCCAACUCUUCUAGCCCUCUGGUCUUUCCUCUCUGAUUCUCAGCCGUCACUAAAAUGCUCCCCCUUGGCUGCGGUUUCUUUUCAGCCCUUAUAUAUUAAGUGAGAAACCCUAAAACCCUCCUUUCAAUGGCUACAAACCAACCUCCUCUCCAGCUCUCUCUCUUGGCCAUCCGAUACACCCUUAUAAUGAAACAGCUUUUCGCGUUUUUUUUUUUUUCAAUCAGAAUCUCUUAAACUGCCUAAAACCCGCUCUCGGGUUUCCCCCUUUUUUUUUAACAAAAUAAACAACAAACCUUCCUAAUUUGAAUCUAAAAAUUUAAAGAAUGUUUUUUUGUUUUUUUUGUUUUUUUUGUGAGCAAUUCUCUUUUUUUUUUUCAAAAAAUCUUAAAAUUAACAGACAAAUAAGCAAAAAUGAAUAAAAUUAAAAUAUUUGAUGUCCAAAAUGCUUGAAA